UGACUACCAGCAUUGGUACAAACUCUGCUUGCAGGGCGUAACGAUGGUAAGCACAAGACAGAAGAGCAGCAAGAUCCCAGGCUGCAGCAAGUGAGGAUCUGCUCAGAUAUGACAACAGUGGGCAAAUAAAUAAGAGAAGGAAACAGCUCACCUUCAGAAAGACUUCAAGGUCCUCAGGUGGAAGCAGAACAGAAGAAAAAGGCUCAGCUUGAAAUUACCUUUUGCAAGUUGGAGUACUGAAGGACAUUAUCAGGACAGAGAUUCCUCCAGAGCUCUGAGGUAAAGGCAAGUGGGGAGAAGUGAGGAAGGACAAGUCUCAUUUCUGACUGCAGAGGAAAGACAGUGAAGAAGAAUGAAUUGGAGGAUGCAGAUGAUAUCCCUGAGAGCUCUGUUCCCAUUAGAGGACACUCUUACCAAAGAAGGAAUGAGAAGAAUGAAAAAAGAAACAAACUGCAAUGAACUUCUAAGGCAGCGCAGCACCAGGAC
ensembl:lncRNA